AGGCAAGAUGUUGGCAUAGCUGUUGUUGCCAAAAAACCAGCUGUACCUACAUAUUGCCAUU
rnacentral:pre_miRNA from 1 species